UACAGAGGGUGCGAGCGUUGUUCGGAAUUACUGGGCGUAAAGCGUGCGCAGGCGGUUUGUUAAGUCUGCUGUGAAAUCCCCGAGCUUAACUUGGGAACUGCAUUUGAAACUGGCAAGCUAGAGUCUUGUAGAGGGGGGUAGAAUUCCAGGUGUAGCGGUGAGAUGCGUAGAGAUCUGGAGGAAUACCGGUGGCGAAGGCGGCCCCCUGGACAAAGACUGACGCUCAGGUGCGAAAGCGUGGGGAGCGAACAGG
rnacentral:rRNA from 1 species